rnacentral:lncRNA from 1 species
UUAGGGUUUAAGGUUUAGGAUUUAGGGUUUAGGGUUUAGGGUUUAGAGUUGAAGGUUUAGGGUUUAGGGUUUAGAGUUGAUGUUUUAGGGUUUAAGGUUAAUUUUUUAGGGUUUAGGGUUUAGAGUUUACUUUUUAGAGUUUAGGGUUUAGUGUUGACAGUUUAGGGUUUACUGUUGAUGGUUUAGGGUUUAGAGUUGAAGUUUAGGGUUUAGAGUUUAGAGUUGAUGUUUUAGGGUUUAAAGUUGAAGGUUUAGGGUUUAAGGUUUAGAGUUGAUGUUUCGGGGUUU